rnacentral:rRNA from 1 species
UACAGAGGGUGCGAGCGUUGUUCGGAAUUAUUGGGCGUAAAGGGCGCGUAGGCGGUGCGGUAAGUCACCUGUGAAAUCUCCUGGCUCAACUGGGAGCUUGCAGGCGAAACUGCCGUGCUUGAGUGUGGGAGAGGUGAGUGGAAUUCCCGGUGUAGCGGUGAAAUGCGUAGAUAUCAGGAGGAACACCUGUGGCGAAAGCGGCUCACUGGACCAUAACUGACGCUGAUGCACGAAAGCUAGGGGAGCAAACAGG